CUAUCAUAUUUGUACUGCUUAUAUUAGCAACAACGAGCAGCUAUUUUUGAGAAAUUACCUUAAAAUAUUCUAGCAUGACUCAACAGUGCACUACUAGGUGAAUAGGCAAUAGCCUCCGACAAGGUCAGACCAGCAAAUCACUCAAGAGUUCAUUAUAUCCUGACCAAAAAUAACCAGCAAGAACCUAAAUCCAGGGCUGGCUGAUGUAAAAAUUAACAACACAGAUACCAAGAAAAACCAAUAUGUUGGUUGCCCUCAUCCUUCCAUUAGCUAGCAGAAUCACCAAAUAAAAAUGCAACUCACGAUAGUUUACAGCAAUCCAUGUUCUAAAUAAUGUUUCAUCAUGUCCAUUCAAAAGAUAAAAAGACAGCAAAUCAAAAUAACUAGUUUCAAAAUUCCAUAUUCUAAAGUAAAUGUCAAUCCCAAUUCAAAGAGGGAAGAAGAACAAGAUAUCAUCAAUAGUCACCCUAUUGAUAUGGCAUGUCUUUUAUCAGUCAUGUUGGGAAAUACUCAAUUCAAAGAGGGAAGAAGAACAAGAUAUCAUCAAUAGUCACCCUAUUGAUAUGGCAUGUCUUUUAUCAGUUAGUACCUCCUAGGAAAACGGUCCAUAAACCUUCCAGAGGGGUGGUCCAUAAACCUUCCCGGAGGGCGGUCCAUAAACCUUCCUGAGGGGUGGUCCAUAAACCUUCCUGAGGGGCACUCAUAAGCUAGGUGUCCUCUUCCCCCACAGUUGUGACAGAUCAUCAAUGGCAUGCAAUCUCGACUCAUGUGGCCCACUUGCUGGCAGUUACGACAUACAAUGUCCCUAUAUCCUCCUCCCCCACCAAAAGGACGAGCUCCACCACCCCUCUCUUCAAGAGCACCAGCCUUGGGGCAAUCUCUCGCCAUAUGACCGGAUAUAUUACAUAGGUUGCACACAGGAUCAUUUUGACAAUCACGUGCCAGGUGACCAGUCUUCCUACAAUUUUUGCAUGCCUUGUCAUUGGUGCAGUCGACUGCAAUAUGGCCUUGCUUGAAGCAGUUAUUGCACAGCUUCAGGUCACCAGGAGGCAGGGGAGGAGCCGCGCAGUCUCUAGCACGGUGUCCUGCCUUUCCACA
rnacentral:lncRNA from 1 species